GUGGAGGUUUAUCAAUUAAUUGUUUCUCUCCUAGAAAACUAUCUAUUUGAGUUGUCAUGAUCUUUGGCUUUGGAUCGUGAGAUCAACAAUUAACCUUAGAGCACCUGCUCUGAUACCACUUGUUGCCCAGUAGAUACAACCCAAGAGGGGGGGUGAAUUGGAUUUUUUAAAGCUUUUCAACUAUUUCUAAAUUUUUCAAUUAAUUAAGCUAAGUUGUAUAGAUGCACAGUGGAAUUUAAACUUAGCUAUAGUUUGAUUCUAAUCUGAUCAAGAUUAAAACUAUUAAGGAGCGGACUCAAUAAACAAUUAGUCUAGAUUUCCCCAAGCAAGCAUUUCAAUAUAAUGAAUCUUAAUGCAGUUUUAUUAAAAGAAACUUGAGUAAACAAUUUGAAUAUACUUGCAACUAAAGGAUGCGCGGAUAAGAGUUAAGCAAGCAAUUCAAUUAAAUAUUUAUCUAAGUAAGUGAGGAAAUUAAACAAUGAAAGAAAGCAUCACAAACACAACAAACAUAUAGUGGUUCGGUGCACCCCAGCACCUACAUCCACUCUCCAAGACCUCUUGGGAAUUUCACUAUAAUCCCUCAGAUUACAGCCGGUUGUUUUACAAGCUCACAACCUAACUUGUUGUUUUCACGAGAUCACAACGAACUCGGUCGGUUUUCACAGUC
rnacentral:lncRNA from 1 species